rnacentral:tRNA from 1 species
GGUCGUGUAGUGUAAUCUGGUUAUCACUUUGGUCUUUGAAACCAAAAAUCUCAGUUCAAAUCUGAGUUCGACUA